UUUGGAGGUACUGGCAGUAUUUCUCUUCUCUCGUGGGGAUGAAGAUUCAGUCCUGAAAAAUUUCACGAAGCAAAAAACUUCAGGCCUAACCCUAAGGAGAAAAGACCUUUUCAACUAAAAACCCUGGGAUGUGUCACCGAAGGAAAUGCAGAAGCCAAAGGCUUGGACAACUUGGAAAGGCAUGCCAAUUUUUUUUCCUAAGAUGAAACAACUGCUACAGCUCCCCUCGCCUGUGAGAAGCUCGGUGGACGUUUUCCCACCAGCAGCUUCUCUGCUGGCUCCUGUUGGGCCACAGGCAAGCUGUGGCCAUGGGGCAAAUGGACUGCACCGAACUCUUUAAUUGCCUCAGGGACAAAUUUAGGCAAAUGUGUUGAGCUGGUAAGCAGCCUGGGACCAGCUCCAUUUGGGUACUGCCAAAAUGCAGCAUCCUUCUUGGCGUGCCCUCUCUGGGGUGGCUCUGGCAACCUGAAGGAGCCCCAAAUGUGGAGGGAGCAGAAAUCUGGCUCUGGGUGGCAGUCCUGGUGUGUGUCCCUGCUCAGGUCCGGAGCUGAGGGGGAUGUAGGCUGCUGGGUAAGCUCCUGGCCAAACGUAUGCCCUGGAGAGGAGAGAACAGAAAUGCUCUGCUGAUAAAAGGGUUCUUAGAGAUGCCCCCAAAACGUUGCCCAUGAGCAGGUGUUGCUAGGCAAAAAUGGGAUGAGCGACGAGGGAUCGGCACAUAGGGUAUGGCAUCGGUGCUUUUGUUCCCAGAACUGUGAAAAUACUGCAGGCCUGAGAUGGCAGAAAGGAAGAACUGCAAGAGGACAUCAUCUCGAAGCUGUGUGGGCAUGUGUUUUGAUGGAGGAGCUCCUAUUGCACCCUGGUAUGUAAAGACCAUAUGGGUAACAGCCACCAAAGGCACAUGCGUGUGCUCCUGUGCACUCUGUGUUCUCUACCUGGCAGGGCUGAGCCCUUCCCACCUCCCUGGGCAGCCAGGCUCAGGAGACAAACGCCUACCCUCACCCAUGUUAGCUGAAGCAAGCAAAGGCUGUUUUUGCUAGAAAAUCCAUCUGAUCUAAGAGAUUCCCAUUUGUUUUGGCACCAAGGCUCUUCAAAGAAAGCCCGAUUGGCUUUUCUCCCCCUCUCUUAUAAUGGCAGCAAUGUAUUUUUUCACUCCUCUCUCACAUUGUAAAGGCUGAAGUGCUUUUGCUCAAAUUUAAAAAUCAAAUCACAUCUGGAGGAAGCCCAGACCUUGCGAGUUUCCACAGAGGGUGGUGAACCUCUCUCUCUAGAUGUCUGAGAUAAUCUCCUUGAGGAACUCACCCAAAUUUCCAUCCUGGAACGAGACCCUUCUCUUUUUGCACAAGAAGGGAUGGCACGAGCCACCACCCCGUGAAUGCAGCGAGAGGAGGAGACGGAUGAAGCCCCAGGAGAGGGGAGAGCAGAUACAUUUCCAGACUGGAGCUGAGCGGUGAUGAAGCAACAAAUGCAGAGAGGUUCAGAGGAAUAACCAGAUG